rnacentral:rRNA from 1 species
UACGAAGGGGGCUAGCGUUGUUCGGAAUUACUGGGCGUAAAGGGCGCGUAGGCGGUACUUCAAGUCAGGCGUGAAAGCCCCGGGCUCAACCUGGGAAUGGCGAUGGAUACUGGCUCGCUAGAGUGCGGUAGAGGAGAGUGGAAUUCCCGGUGUAGCAGUGAAAUGCGUAGAGAUCGGGAGGAACAUCAGUUGCGAAGGCGGCUCUCUGGACCAGCACUGACACUGAGGCACGAAAGCGUGGGGAGCAAACAGG